AAAGUCAGGAUGGAUGGCCGUUUGACGACCUGACUUUUUCGAAGGGUCGGCGGGACAUGGGAGCCUCAGCUCAUGCAACGGUUUA